rnacentral:lncRNA from 1 species
UAGUCAAACUCUAGGGCUUUUUUACAUAAUUAUCCCUCUUUUGACUUUUCUUUUAACAAUAUGACCUAUUUUGUGAUAUAGAGUCACUUAAAGGGCAACUUUGGUGGCUUCUUUUUCCCAUUUUUAUUUAUUUUUCUUUUUCAGAUAAUAACAAAAAGAUAAGAAGUGGAGAUGGGAUACUAACUGCAAGUCGCCAUGUCUCUUAAUCUGAUAAGGCUGCAACUGCCAAAUCUCAAUCUCAUACAUAUGAAGACGAAGACGAAGAAGAUUUGGGAUUUCAGCCAUCAUCAUCCUAAAAGGGACGGUCUCUACAGCCUAUACAUGCACACCUCGCCAAGAAAUCGAACAGCAGGUAUGUUAUGGUGUCAUAGAUCUAUCUCCUCUCUCUCUCUCUUCUCUCUCUCUCUCAUAUCUCACGAAAUAGUCCUAAUUCAAUUGGACUAAUUGGACUUUCUUAAUCCUACUGGGAGGCUGUUUAACCCAACAGAAACGAUCAGGUCAAGCAUUUUUUUUCAUAACCUUUUAGGCUUUGUUUGGAUGAGAAUUUGUUGAGGAAAAAAGAAAUGAAAAUUAAAAAAAUAGAUAAUUUAAUAGUUUAAAAUGACUGGACCGUAUAACUUUUUUAUUUCCAUCUCUUUUGAUAAAUGCGAAUUUCAAAUGAAUGAAUUUUACAUUGAAUAAGAAUGGGAAUAGCUUACAUUUAGAAUUGGUAGCAUGCGGAUGGAAUUUGACAUUGAAUUUUGCAACUUUAUUACGAUAUAUUUGAAAUGAUUAAUUAACAAAAAUAAUUUGAUAUGCGGAAUAGUAAAAACAUAUGGAUUACAUCUCUUCGAUUUAUCAAAUGUUGUAUUUAGACAACAGUUUUAGGGAUGAAUUUGCAAAGAGAAAAGAAAAGUACCUGUCUCAUCCAUUACACCUGUUUGGGGAAGGAGAUAGUCCUUGAUUUGGGUCUCUCCUUGAUUUCUUCUCCCUCUAAGCCAACUUCUCAAUUGUUUGGCAUAAUCUUUCUCUUCACAUACUUUUCUCAGCUCGCCUUCCAAAAUCAACACAGCCGGAUAUGCCACGCGACAGGGGUGGGACACCCGUCCGUGGUCACGCGAUGGUCCGCGUGGUCGUGGAAAAGACCGUCUGUGCCCUUGGUCCCUUUUUGCUGGCCAUGGCCCAUGGCCAAGCUUCGGUGAUUCCGACACCAGCUUAUCAUCUUCUCCGUCCGAUCGAGGAGGUCCAGAAACGGUGGGUUAAGGUACAAUGAAAGUGCAUGAAAGUCCUGUAUCCGUGAAAUCAUUGGACACAAGUGGUCGUGGCCCGACACGUUGCCGAACAUACGAGUCACAAUGCUAUUAGCUCUUGCGGAAGACUGGAUGUCUUUUUUAUCUGGUAUACUCUUCAACUAUUUGAGUUGUUUCUACUUAGUCUUAAGUUUUUAAUUUUAGGCUUAAAUCAUUCGUUAAUUACAGUGUUACCUAAUGAUACUCUUUACUUCAGUGUGAUCAAAACAACAUUUAUGCUUUUGGUCAAUUUUAAAAGUAGAUCUUAUCACCAAUUUGGUGUCAUUUUAGGUGACUGAAAUAAGCCCUAUAGCCUUCACGAAAAUAGGCUUAAUUGGUAUUUAAUUGAUCAAAAAAUAUGCCAAGAGAUCACUUAUCAGUAAUAAAUGACUAGGAAAGAAGGUUCAUUUAAUAUUUAACAUUAAAAUAUAACGGAUUGGCUGCAAUAAUUAAAAUGAAUAGUAUUAAAAUGAGAGUAAUAGUAAAAGUACAGGUGUUUUCAAGCUUGUGUUUAAGUAAGAUUUGAAAAUUUUAAAAGUAAUAUAUUUUUACCUAAAUAUAUUAAUAGUAAUUUUGAAUAAUUUAACCAAAAAAAUAAAAUCAAAUAAAUACUGACAACAUAUUAAUUAACAACUAUAUAUUUUUAUUUUAAUCAUCUAAAUAUUAAUUAAGAUAUAUUUUAUCUAAUUAAACGAAAUUACAUGAAUAUUAACCAAUAAUUAAUGAACGUGGGGUAUUUGUCUUUUGACAUUUAUACUAUCUAUCCAACUCAAAUCCCUUUUCUCCAAAACACAUCCAAACAUCAAACUAAAGCACCCUCUUAAAAGGUGGGCCUCAAUCGUAUUUAAAUUCAUCCCUCAUUUCAAAUCCACCAUCAAUCUCCCCUCAUUCCAAAUCCACCAAAAUCAUCUACUUGUUGCCCAAACGGACUGUACGGUCCCCAACCUUAGGCUGUAUUUGGCUUAAUGAUUUACUAGGGAAAAAAGAAAUGAAAAUAAGAAAAGAUGGGCCAAUAAGAAUUAGGAUCCGAGAGAAUCCAAUAUACUCCCACUCCAAGUAAGGUAGCAACUCGGUGGAAUCACUUGGGAACAGAUUUGAUAAGGCAUCCCAGUUUGCAUUACACUGAGACUUGCCCAAAUCCUUACCAUCAAAAAGCAUUCUUGUUUGCUGUCCGGGGCAGCAUACUGCUUGCAAUUAUACAAUUUACUGCAAUAUAUUAUAAGAGCCUUAGG